GGGCGAGCUCCCUCCUCCCCGCUCCGGCCGUCCCCCUUCUCCCUGCCCACCAACGGCGCCGAGACCCCCAGCCCUAGGAGAGGAGGGGAAGGAGGAGGAGGAGGAGACCGACCCUCAUCAGCAGCUCUCCUCCGCCGUACACCUCCCCUUUUCCCCUCCCUCUGGCCUCAGCGCCGCGCUGGCGGGGGCCGGUGAGGGCAGGCGACGCGGGAAGGCGGCUCUCAGCAUGGACGAGCCAUGUGUAUCCUAAGGAAUAACAGCAGCUGCUGCGCCCACGAUGGGGAGCAGAGGAACGCCAGGAGGAGAGGGCUCGCUGGGGCAGAAUCAAAGAACCUGUGUGUGACAUCGUCAUGAAUGAGAGAAGAAAGUAAUACAGUAUUGGAUGUGCCUGUUUGCUGCCUCUGUUUAGAGAGAAAAUGAUGCAUUAUGGGGAAUCACACAAAAGGAGCGAAUGAGAUGAACUGUUUGGGUUAUAGAAUCUGAAAGGCUAAAUUAUUUUCUUGGAGAGACGUUCUAAAUGAGCCUGACCGAGAUACUGGAUCUGUGUGAAGAGGACUAAGGAUAUAGGAUGUCAACUGAGACAGAACUUCAAGUGGCUGUUAAAACCAGCACAAAGAAAGACUCCAAAAAGAAAGGUCAGGAUCGCAGUGAAGCCACUUUAAUAAAGAGGUUUAAGGGUGACGGUGUCCGAUACAAAGCAAAACUGAUUGGGAUAGAUGAGGUUUCUGCCGCCCGAGGAGACAAGUUAUGCCAAGACUCCAUGAUGAAGCUCAAGGGAAUUGUUGCUGCGGCUCGUUCGAAAGGAGAGCAUAAACAGAAAAUCUUCUUAACAGUCUCCUUUGGAGGAAUCAAAAUCUUUGACGAAAAGACAGGGCUACUACAGCACCACCAUGCAGUUCAUGAAAUAUCUUACAUUGCAAAGGAUAUCACAGACCACCGAGCGUUUGGAUAUGUAUGUGGAAAGGAGGGAAAUCAUAGAUUUGUGGCAAUAAAAACGGCCCAGGCAGCUGAACCUGUAAUUCUGGACUUGCGAGAUCUGUUUCAGCUCAUCUAUGAACUGAAACAAAGGGAAGAAAUGGAAAAAAAGGCACAAAAGGACAAACAGUGUGAACAAGCGGUAUACCAGACAAUUUUGGAAGAAGAUGUAGAAGACCCUGUAUACCAGUACAUUGUGUUUGAGGCUGGACACGAGCCAAUCCGUGAGCCGGAAACAGAAGAAAACAUUUAUCAGGUUCCUACCAGCCAAAAGAAGGAAGGUGUUUAUGAUGUGCCAAAAAGUCAACCUGUAAGUCUGGAGAAUGGAAACUUAUUGCUGGACAUUGAUGAAAAUCUUGUUUCAGUCACUCAGGCUGUUACCCAACUAGAGCUUUUUGGGGACAUGUCCACUCCUCCUGAUGUAACCUCUCCCCCGACUCCUGCUACUCCAGGUGAUGCCUUUAUCCCAUCUUCAUCCCAGUCACUUCCUGCUAGUACAGACAUGUUUGGUUCUGUACCUUUCAGCACUGCUGCCGUACCCUCAGGUUAUGUUGCCAUGGGAGCUGUUCUGCCCUCAUUCUGGGGACAGCAACCACUUGUUCAACAGCAGUUGGCCAUGGGUGCUCAGCCUCCAGUUGCUCAGGUGAUGCAGGGAGGACAGCCGAUAGCGUGGGGCCAGCCGGGUAUUUUUCCUCCUACUCAGCAACCGUGGCCAUCUGUAGCUGGUCAGUUCCAACCAACUGCCUUCAUGCCAACACAAACUGUUUUGCCUUUACAAGCAGCCAUGUUUCAAGGUACCAUUGCUCCUAUAGCUACUGUUCCACCCACAAGUGAUUCCAACAGAUCAAGUCCACAGACAGACAGGCCCAGACAGAAAAUGGGAAAAGAAAUGUUUAAAGAUUUCCAGAUGGCUCAGCCUCCACCAGUGCCAUCAAGAAAACCAGAUCAGCCUUCCCUCAGUUGUACCUCAGAGGCCUUCUCAAGUUACUUUAACAAAGUUGGGAUGGCACAGGAAGCAGAUGAUUGUGAUGACUUUGACAUCUCUCAGUUAAAUUUGACUCCUGUGACUUCCACAACACCAUCAACAAACUCACCUCCAACCCCUGCACCCAGACAGAGUUCUCCAUCAAAAUCAUCAGCAUCUCAUACCAGCGACCCUGCUGCAGAUGACCUCUUUGAAGAGGGAUUUGAAAGCCCAAGCAAAAGUGAGGAGCAGGAGGCUCCUGAUGGGUCUCAGGCCUCAUCCAACAGUGAUCCAUUUGGUGAGCCAACUGGUGAUACUAUAAGUCCACAGGUCGGUAGCUAGAUAGCGCAGGUUGGGCAAUACCUCCUGAGGAUCGGUGCACAGCCAAUAUGGAAGAGGAAAUUGAUUGUAAGCAUGCCUUUUCUGAAAUAAUGUCACAUUUCCUUCACAAUCCAACUGGGGUGCCAUGAUCACUCCAAGCAGCACAGAAAACAAACACUUCCGUUGGGUUUUGACUCACGAGGAAGCAGAACCUCUCUACGCCCAGAUCAACAGACCUAAGAAAUAGCAUUGUUACAGGCUUGUGGUGCUCCGAGACUCAAAUGAAACCCACCAACCUGGCAGGCCUUUGGCUUUCAUGCUUUUUUCAGAUUGAUUUUGGCUGGCAAGGAUAGAGGAUUGCCCUCCUGGACUGGCUCUGUGAGUGUUCCUGAUGAUUUUUGGCAACCAAUGGCAGAUUCCUACGGCAGCACAAAAUAAAAACUCCCUGCUUAUCACACCAAGAGUCCAGCCCUGUCCCCACAAGUCAUGGGUAUCCAGACUAGGAAAUCUUGCUCCUCGGUCUUCUUUUCGACAUCUGUUAUCUUCUGAAUGCCACAUAUAAAUAAUGAGCAUCUGAAAUUUACUGAGUAUCAGACAUUCCUUUUCUUUGGAGCAAAAAGCAGAAUCUGUAUGUAGCAGUGGCAUUAUCAUUCAACAGCCUUUUGGGCACAAGUCGGCACUUUUUAUGUCACGGUGACAUGUUUUUCAUCAUCAUUUACAUCAGGCUGAUCCUGACUUAUUUUUUUCCCUUGUGUAGGCAUAUUUAAACAACAGCAACAACAAAAUACUGGCAGUGUCAUUUUUUUUGGUAUUUCUUAUUCUGUAGUUUUGUAUGAGUGACAGAUCUAACAGCAAAACACCUCCUGCGGAAACGAUUCCUAACUUGAAACCACAGAAUAGAACUCGGUUGUUUAUCCAUCCUGACUGAAAAUGUUGCCAAAUGUACCUUUAAGUUCUAGCGCAUCAUGAGGAAGAAAUGCUGCUUUUCUGUUUGAAUACUCAUGUUGUGGGUAGAGGAAGGACAUCAAGUCCCACUGAUGGAAGAGAUAAAAGAUUCACUAUUUCCUAGGAAACUCUAAACAAAGGACAGAAAAGGAAUAUUUUUAUUUCUUCGAUAUCUUGCUGCUGUAAUGCUAUGCAGACAAGUGUUUUCUUCUCUGUGUGCCAUUUUUGAUGAAAAAAAUCAUUUGCCAAAUAAUACUGGUAUGAUUCUGGUUUGGGAAGUUGGAUGAAAAGGACUUUACAAAUGGGACAACGGUGGCAUGGACUUUGGAAUAACGAACUGAUUCUGUGAUCAAAUCGUUCAUCUUUAUCACUUUUUGUACAUCAGAAAAAUCAAAUGGGAUUUUUAUUUUAUAACUUGAAAAAAAUCUUACUGUUAAACUCUUUAAAUGUUAAAGGGGAAAUGGCUUUAAGGAGUUCGAAUGAAAAUUGCCAGUUUUUUUGUAAAUAUAAAUGUUAUGAAAAUUCUUUUACUAAUGCCAUUACACAGUAGAGAAGGUAGCAAGUUGCAGUGCUUGGGAGGUGUGGCAAACCCAGUUUGUGGUUCUCACAUCACAUACGUUUUUUCACGUGCUUACGAUAAUGGGCUGAAGCUCAAGUGCAUUUGCCAAAAGCAGUCAGCUUGUCAGCAACUAGUGAAAUUAAUGGGAACACAUGAUUUUAUGAUCUAGCUUUUUCACACAGGCAUACUCCACGUACGAGAAAUCACAUUUCAUUGGCAUUCCUUUACGAUUCCAGAACCUCUGCAUAGAAGUCAUCAAACUGUUUACACAUAGAAUGAAAGAAUUUAAAACUUCCGUUUUUUUACAUUUAUGAAGCAAAAGUGCAGUGUUUGGGUUCAUAUGUUUAGCACAUGAUUUUCAUAAAGAAUCUAUAUAUUUUUGCCCUACAGAGAAUUGUUAUACAGGUCAAAUGUGUUUUCCUGAUGUUCCUAUGCAGUUACAGUAUAUUGAAUUUAGUGGUUUAACACUAAAAAGAAAAAAAAAAAAGAAAAAGAAGAAAAAAAUAGAAAAAAAAGAAAAAAAUAGAAAAACAAAAAAGGUUAAAGAAAUUAAAUGAUUAAUCUGUUUUUAGGGUUAUUGUGCAGAUUUUGUUUUUAAAUUGACACAUUAGGAUUUGCAUUUUUGUCAUGAUUAAAAUAGGCCUGGAGUUAUAAAUACUUUACUUUCUUUCAUCUCUAUUAUAAGCUAAAAAUGGUUUAGAAGGCAGAAUACCUGGGGUGGCAAUUGUGGAUGCGUACAACCAAAUCUCACCACAUGAUUCCAGUCUUUUAUUUUGAAUUAGAGAAAUUAGAGAAAUGUGCGUUACAGAAUGUAUGUGAAUGAAAAAUUAGCUGUGAAUAGACCUAACGAACCUGCAGAGAAGAGAACUUUUAUCCCCAUCCACAGUCAUUUGAUGCUUAUUUCUUAGACAUGUGCAAGCAGUUUUGUAGCAAAUCUUAUUUUCCCAUCAGAAGAAAGGUCAGUUUUCUAACCAGAGACACUGAAUUACAGCUUGGUGGGUUGAGUGUUUCGGGAUUAAAAGCAGAGGUAAAUAUGUUUCUGAAGGACAUUGCAUUAAGUGUAUUUUCCUAGUUUGCACAGUGGUGCUACCUUCUUCUUCAGUGGCUCCUUUCAGUUUUGUCCUACAUACAGAACCACGAAGACAAUUGUGAUUCAUUACAGACAUUUGAGGUUUAGUCUAGUCAGCGCAUUUCCAGUUAUGGGGUAAAAUGUUGAAAGGAAAAGAAGAGAUUUAUGUCUCAGAGGAUCCAUUGACAUCCUAUCUGUAGGAAGCAGAUCAUUUACAUAGUCCUUGCAACAACUAGGUGCAGAGGGAAGGAGGCUGGGAUUUUAGUGUUUUGGGAGAGACAGCUGGACCAUCCCCGUGGACCACUGUCUUACCUUUGCCAAUGUUCAUAAAUAAAACUAAAUUCGGAAUUGUCGUGUCAUACAAUUAGAUCGUCUUUGUCAUGAUUGAGAUGCUGUUUUGAGAGGAUCGUAAGGCCUCUGCACUGUACUAGUAUUGUAGAUAACUAAAAUAUCCAGCUUGUGCAAUUGUUUAAUCCCUCGUCCUUCACUAGCACUAAAUUUGUCACUUUAAAUUUAAAAACCAGGGAAUCCCACCAGCCAUCUUGUUGUCAUUCCCCGUAGAUUCUUGAUCUUUACCUGUCAUGAAAAGAUAUUUUGAUAGAUCGUAGUCAUCCAAGUGUCUGAUGAAACCUUUCAUCUAAUAACGUACUGGGCACCUUCUUUGCAAAAAUGUUUACUCCGUGGUUUUCAUUCAUUUUUAUUUCUGCAUUCUGACACAUAUUUUUUUAAUAAAGAUGAGAAAGAUAAAAUGACUGUUGCAGUACAUUUCUAAACCUACUUUAACUUUACCUCAGAUAAUGACCAUUUGUUAACACAUACGGACACAUUAUUUUUAACUUUAUGUAUAAUGCAUUCAGCAACAACAACAAAAAAACAAAUUUUUAGAAAUUUUCCAUUAAUUUCUGUAACACACCAUGUAAUACUGUUAUGAAUAAAAACAUUUUAAAAAGG